rnacentral:rRNA from 1 species
UACGGGGGGGGCAAGCGUUGUUCGGAAUUACUGGGCGUAAAGGGCUCGUAGGCGGCCAACUAAGUCAGACGUGAAAUCCCUCGGCUUAACCGGGGAACUGCGUCUGAUACUGGAUGGCUUGAGUUCGGGAGAGGGAUGCGGAAUUCCAGGUGUAGCGGUGAAAUGCGUAGAUAUCGGAAGGAACGCCGGUGGCGAAAGCGACACGCUGGACCUUUUCUGACGCUGAGGCGCGAAAGCCAGGGGAGCAAACGGG